rnacentral:lncRNA from 1 species
GACAUUGGUGUGCUGCCUGAUGUGAGUGCUGUGGAAGGCUGCGAACAGAAGGAAAUGCAUGGACAAUGCCCAGGGAAUGCAGGUGUGGAAGUUGUGAUGGGUGAUAGUCAAGCUUCUCCAGCUGGAAAGAAAAGACUGGCUUGUCACUACACUCCACUCUCUUUUACAAUCAACAGAAGAGCACCAGAAAUCCCAUCCACAUGUCUUCAAAGGUGUGGCUGGCAGAGAGGAGGAGGAGAACAAAGUCACUAUGUUGUUUUUGUGCGGUACCCAGGCUGUAUUGGUCUGUCAUGGAUGCACUCCCCACAGCUCGGUCAGAUGGAGCUGAACACCACGGUCUUUCCUUCUGCUGGACUGUGGCUGUACUGAGAGAAGGUCUGGAGGGAAAUACAGAGCUGGGACCACAACUGAGGAGUGUGAAUGUAACAGUGAGUGUGUGGACUGAGAAUUAGUCCCUCCAUGUUUGUGUCCACUAAUAACUUUCAGGAAGCAGCCAUGGGAAUACUUUUUACCUGAUGUAAAUUUUACCUUUAACCUGAUAUAAAU